UGUGAUCCGCUGAAAGAAGCCAUAACUAAUGAACUCGAUUGUCUGUGUAAAUUGUACGAAAAUCCUACGGUGUUGCCUUCAUUUGGUAUUAAUAUUACUCAAGCACUUGCACUUCCUAAAGCAUGUAAUAUUCCUGGUGAUCUCAGUUCUUGCAAUGGUAUGAUCUUUUCUUCUUCAUUUAUUUUUUUCUGCUUUGGAUAUUCGGUAUUCGGUAUCACAUAUAGCCUGUUUGGUCAAGCUUUUUUCUUUGGCCAAAAUUAAUUUUUUCUAAAAUUAAGGUGUUUGAUCCUGAGCCAAAUGUCUUAAAGGGUGUUCAACUUACCAUCAUUAAUCGAAAAAUUAUACUGCAUAUAUAGGUAAAAUAUUAGGUUGUAGAGAUAUAUAACAGAUAUUGAACAUUCUUUAUCGGAGAAUUUUAUUCACUUCUUUCAAGUUUGAACACCCUUAAGGAAAUUCCUGAAUUCGUCACCAGUUUGACCAAGCUUUUAGAAGGAAAAAAAUAUUUUUGAUUAGAAGUAGAAGUAGUUUUGAGAAGCAAAAAAAAUAGUUUAUCCCCAAAAGUACUUCUAAGAAAAAUACACUUAUAACCCGUUUGGCCAAACUGAAAAAAUCAGCUUAUAGAUUAUUUUUAAAAGGUCAAAUUAAUCCAAAAACAUAAAAAUUGUGUACAAUUACAUAUAUAAGAAAGUUACUGGUCUUAGUGAAAGAGUUGGGAUUGACCUUAUUGUAUAAAUAAUUAAGUUUAUGAUCUCUCACUUAUCAUCAGGAAUCUUAAUUUUAGUUCUUGAAAAUGUGUCUAAAAGAAAUGGAAUCAAAUUGAGAAUUCAUAUUGCCGCUCAUAACUAAUUAAUUUGAAAUUGUUGAGGAAUUGCUGUGGAAUAAAUAAUUUUAUGUUUUGGAGUUAAUGGCUUUUCUUUACUAUUUCUAUUUGAUCCAGAAAUUAAAAUGUGUACUAUGUUUCCAAAUUUCUAAUUCAGAAUCUUUGAGUGUAUUUAGUAUGAUGGAAGUCAUUUUUCAUACAAUAUUGUUUUAGAAGAUAUAAUAUUUUUCAGUGUUUGGUUAGUGAGAUAAAAUAUUUUUAGAAAAAAGAUACUAUAUUAUAUAGAAUUUUACUUGUAAUCAUUUUCUAAUUCCCUUCCUUCUCUUUUUGGUCAUUUUAUAAGGGAAAUGUUACUCCCUCGUGCAAUAACAAAAAAUUUAAUUGUGUUCGUAUUAGUAUAAUUUUUCGAAGUUCAUGAAUAUGUAAUUUAAAAAAAAAAUUAAAGUUCAGAAAUCAUAUUUGAAUUCAUAACAAAAUAAUCCUGUUACUUUUUUUCUUUCAAAGUUGUUGUAGAGGGUACUAUUUUAGUCUUGAUUAUUUAUUUUCGUGUAUAGGUAACGCUGCUCCAGGUCCUGGUUCUGAAACCUUGCCACCACCAGGUAACUAAGAAUUAAUUUUUUAUUUUAUUUUAACAAAUAUUCAUUAAUUGUUUCUCCCAAACAACUGCAAUUUAAAACUAGAAUUAUAACUUGGAUAAUUAAUGUUAUCUUCUGUAUGGGAUAAGUUAUAUCAAAAGUUUGAUAUCAAAUAUUUAUGACUUAUUUUAGAUCAUAAUUUUUAAAGUCUUUUUUAUUCUUCAACCCCAUAUCGAGUCAAAAUUCACCAUAUAAAUUGAAACAUAGAAGUACUGAUAUUAGUUAAUACCUUCAACCAAAAAGGGGAUAAAUUUUAUCCCAAAAGUUAUAUUGGGAUAACCCACCUAAUUCUUUGAAUCAAAUAGCUCCGGAUAUUUAUUGGUUGAUGAUGUAACUAGGCCCCCUUUUUACGGUCAAUGAUAAGUUUUAGUACCGGCAAACGCGGAUCUAUGAUUUAAAUUUUAUAGGUUUAACAUUUAAGGUUUUUAACAUUAAAUUCAUUAUAUUUUUAAAACUAUGGGCUCGAUCUACUAUUUAUUGUAAUUUUAGUGAAUUUUUACACAUUAAUUUAUACUAGCGUCAAAAGUUAUGGGUUCAAUUGAACUCGUGACCGGAGCGCUAGUACUAGUGUUUCAUUAACUUCCUUAACUAUGAUAAAGAAGUUCUAUCUGACUUUAUUUUUAUUUUAAGAGCCUUGUGAUAAUUCUCCAAGUCAUUGCUUCAAAUGUGGACAUUGAUUUGGUCUUUGUUCAACUUACAAUUUUAGGAACCCCAACGUUGAAAAUGACACAAUAGCUGUAUUCCAUUGCUUGUUCCAACUUUCCAAUAAUGUUGUUCUAGACUUCUCAUAAUAGUCGUAUGAAAUGUUGGACAAGGAAAUAAGAAAAACUUUAAUUUUACAUGAUACUACUUUUAAAUUUUUUUGUUCAAUGUUUCUAAAAAAAAUACAUAAUAUAUUGCAAGAAAAUUUAACUUUAAACUUUCAUUUUACACUUAAUAAUAAAUUUAUAUAUAGAAUAUCGCGUGUCAAAAGUAUAUUUUUCUUUAUUAAACUUCAUUACCGUCAACACAUCAUCUUAUAAAAUGAAAUUGAGGAAGUAAUAGUCUUUUGCAUCUUGCUAUCAUAUAUACAUAUGGAACUUCUCAUAAUUAACAUGAGGGAUGGCGGGAUGGAUAAAUCCUUUCACUCUUAAUCGGAGGUCUGAAUAAAAAAAAAAUUAUAGUAAGGAACGCUUUCCCCUUUAAUGAGCCUAAUGCGAUGCAACCUGAAUUAAUUGGCACUUCAAAGCACUUUGAAGGACGUCGAAUGAAAAACAAAAAAAGCUCUCUAAUUAUUACUACUAGAAGAGCUGCCACAUAUUGAAGUGUGGGGAAGUUUUGCUAACAAUUUUACUGUCAUGAUUGCAAUUUUUACAGCAACACCAGGUGGGAAAAAUGAUAACAAUGGAGUAAACAAGAUUGCAUGGACUGGAACCUCAAGUUUACUUGUUCUUUUUGCUUCUUUAGUGCUUGCUUAGAAUCACUUGUUAUGUUCAAUUUUUAGGGAAAUAUGAUGAUUUAUUCCCUUAGUCCUUACCUAAUGUACUAGUGAGAAAAUUUGGCUGAUUCCAAGCCAGAGGCUGUAUUGUUGUUUGUUUCACUCAUCGUUUAUACUAUGUGUAGUGUUACCUUCUUGGUGUAUGGAUUUGGUAGUUUUGAAUAUAUAGUAUUUGCUUGCAAGCUGAAUUUGUUCUCAAAUAUUGGAAGUUAUAGAAAAAGCAAAAAGUAUUAUGUAUUGUUAAUUAAAUACAGAGUAAGUUUUAAGAUAUUUCGAAAGUAUUUUUCAGUAACCAAACUCCAAAAGAUAUGACAUUUUGUUUGUUGUUGAGAAAUUAACUUCUCAACCAAGCUACAUCUUAUCCUCUCCUAGUGAAUCUGUCCAAUUAAUCUUUCCUAUCUUUCCUCUUACACUAUUCACUGUCUCAAGCAGGAUUUCUAUUAAAGGGGUUCAAAAAAGAAAGGGACUACGGCCACUGAGAAUUGAAUCAGUGACCUCACAAAAAUUUUGAACCCUUUGACCACUGAGCUAUACUUUUGCACCGUAGUAAGGGGAUUCAAAAUAUAAUAUAUAGAGGCACAAAAUAAAUAUUGCCUUAUAUGUAUAUAGGGAUGGCAAAUGAGCUGGUUGGGUCGGAUAUGAGCGAGUUCAAAAUGGGUAAUGUAAAAAAAUGGAUAAAUUAUCCGACCUGAUCCAUAUUUAAUGCGGAUAAAAAAUAGGUUAACCUGCGGAUAUUAUGGAUAUCCAUAUUAUCCACGAUUUCUUGAAUAUGAUUACUUUGGGGAGAAUUCCUCGUCUCCCAAACUUGAGGAACCCUCAAUUUGAGACUUUACAAAUGUAAAAGUUAAACUCAUUAGUUAUCCAUUGAUUAUCUAUUUUCUAAGUGGAUAAUAUGGUUCUUAUUCAUAUUUGAUUCCGUUUUUAAAAAGUUNNNNNNNNNNNNNNNNNNNNNNNNNAGUAUUACUUAUUACUUUAUUAUUUAUUCUACUAUAUAUAUAUAUAUAUAUAUAUAUAUAUAUAUAUAUUAUUAAGAAAUGUAGCUCAAAUAACAAUAUAAAACAAGAAGAUAAGUAAAAGAAUAAGAGAAGAAGAGAGAUAACUUUCUUAUUUCAUCAAGUAUUCAAGUGUGUCCCAUAUCACAUUUCAUGCCUCUAUUUAUACUAUUACAUAGAAGGUUAUAAAAUGAUUGUCUUAAACAUGACAUUACCAAUUGAGAUCAUAGGAGAAGAUCAUAGGAAGGGGUUAUGGAGGUGUGAGAGUUACAAUCAUAAUAGUGAUGAGUAGUGAGAGGUUAUUUACAUCAUGGCUUAAAUUAGUGGGAGUAGUGGACAUCCACAUUUACUAAUAGUUUUACAACAAUUCCUCUUGGAUGUCAAAAAAUAGAUAAUAUGCUUCGUUAAAAUCUUACUAAGAAAAAAUCCCGUGGAAAAAAACUUAGUGAAGGAAAAAAAGUACACAUAUAUGUAAUACACUUUAUUUGUUGCCUCGUUAAAAACCUUACCAGGAAAACUGAUCACGUCCAAAGCACAUCUCAAAAGAGAUAUGAAACGGUCGUAUGCAAUAAUAGAAAUCCAACUAAGAGUCGGGGUCGAAUCCACAGGGAGCUAAGAUGGGAGUUAGAGGUAUAUAUUUCAAUUUGAGCAAUUGGAUUAUCUAGAUUGCACUUCCACAACAAGGAUCUGUUUUCUUUUUCCAAUGUUACUAUAAUGAUUGCAAAUUAAAGAAAGCAGACUAGAGAUAAUUAUUUUUAAGAUUUUUCCAAAUGGAUAAAAAACCUAGGGUUAUGACCAUGACCUAAGUGUUUGCCUAAUGCGCUGAAAACUUUAAUACUUGUUUUGUCGAUUGGUGUGUAUUAUAGCUCUUAACUCUAAAUUACCCACACAAUACCUCUCGGUAAAAGAGCGAUUUUUCUCCAUUUAGCUUUCUCAAGACCAAAUGGGCAUCACCCAAAAUAGUUGGUACGACCUCAAGUCGGGUUAUUGCUAUCUUUAGGUCGAACCUUUUAAUUAGGUUAACCAAUCUCUCAAUUGACCUAAUUCCUUGUUGGCCUAGUUAUCCUAGACUAGGUCCCUCUUUCUCAAAUAGAGACUAAGUCAAAUAGGCAUGAAUUAAUGUUUACAAUCAGUAAUUCUAUAAUUAAAGCAUGAACUAAGCUAAAUAAUCAACACCCAAUCAUAAAUAAGUAUUAAAUUAGAUACCUGAUAAGUGGAAAUUUUAACUACUUAUUAGCGUCUUUUAGCUUUUGUUUUAGUCUAAUAGCAUUAAAUUAUGUUCGCGAAACCAAUGAAAUUGUGCAAAAUUGCAGGAAUAUUAAAAAUUGGGCUCCCGAGAUGAAAUCCGACUCACAAAGGAGCAGUCCAAGUACAAAGCAAUAAAGGGAACACAAGCACACAAUGUGCGGUCCACAGAAGGAAUUCUACAGCCGCAGAAAAAAUUGCAGACCGCAAACAAAGAAGAAAAAAUUAGCAGACAUUUGUGCAAAUUGCGGACCACACAUGAAUUGUGCGAUCGCAAUGCUGGGCUAAGAGUCGAAGAUCAAAGAGUAUGCAAAAAGAGCAAGUUCAAGCCUCAAUGAAUUGCAGACCACACAAGAUUUGUGCGGCCGCAGAAGAUUGCCUUACGGCCGCAAUCCUAAUAUUGCGGACCGCAAAAGAUCUUCCUUGCGGCUGCAGUCCAAAAAUGUGUGGCCGCAGAAUAAUGCCUUGCGUCUAGUUCAUGCCAGAUGAAGAAAUCUGCGGAUCGCACAUGGAAUUGUGCGGCCGCAGAACCUCCCGAGGAGUAUUUUUGUUCGAGAUUUUCAGCCUUGUAUAAAUAGACGAGUUUCACAAAAUUAGGUCAAGUUUGACCUAUGAAGUUAGUUUAGCCAUUUUUCUUUGCUAUUUUAGGAAGUUUUACUUUGUUUUGGUGUAUUUAUAAUAGAUUUAAUCAUUUUAAUCUUUCAUUAUUAGUUUAAUUAGUUUUUCUUCUCUAUUUUCUUCAAACCCAAGUAUGAGUAGCUAGAUUUCUACUAGGGUUGUUACCCAACCCUAGUGUGUAAACCUUAUGGGUAUCUAAUUUAGUGCUUAUUUAUGAUUGAGUGUUUAUUAUUUAGCUUAGUUCAUGCUUUAAUUAUGAAAUUAAUUGUUGCAAAUAUUAGUUCAUGCCUAUUUGACUUAGUCUCUACUUGAGAAAGAAAGACUUAGUUUAGGAUAAUUUAGCUAACAAGGAAUUGGGUCAAUUGAGAGUUUGAUUAACCCAAUUAAAGGGUUCAACCUAGAGAUAGUAAUAACCCGACUUGAGCUCUUAUCAACUGUUUUGAGUUAUAUCCAUUUGGUCUUGAGAAAUCUAAAUUAGGCAAAACCACUCUCUGACUAAGAGGUAUUGAGUGGGUAAUUUAGAGUUGAUAACUAUAAUAUAUCCCAAUCAACAAAAUAAGUAUUAAAGUCUUUAUCCCAUUAGGCAAACACAUAGGUAAUGGUCAUAACCCUAGGCUUUUUAUCCAUUUGAAAAAACCUUUAAAAACAAUUUUCUUUAGUCUUCUUCCUUUAUUUUGCAAUUAAUAGAGUAAAAUUAGAAAUAGAAAAUAAAUCUGAUUGUGGAAAUGCAAUCUAGAUAAUCCAAUCACUCGCAUUGAAAUAUAUACCUCUAAUUCCCCUCUUAGCUCCCUGUGGAUUCGACCCCGACUCUUAGUUGGGUUUCUAUUAUUGCAAACGACUGUUUCAUAACUCUUUUGAUGUGUGCUUUGGACGUGAUCAAUUUCUGGCGUCGUUGCCGAGGAGUUAAAAAUGGGUUAGCUAUAUAUAUUUGGGUAUGUUUUUGGAGUAUCUUCUUUUCCUUCCGUGUUACUAACUUGUUUGAGAAAUCGUAGGUACAACCAUGAAAAACAAUGAGCUCGGAAAUAUUAUUUUGGGGGAUGUGGAUGUCGAGGAUUAGCAAGUUGAUGAGGUUCUUCUUGAACCUCAAGCUAAUAUAAGAGGCCGGGUGCCUCAAUGUCUCCGUUCCACCCCCACCUCCACCACGAGCGACUCCACACCGGGUGUUACCCAAAUGAAGGAUAUGCAAGUUCAAUAGUCCCUCCCCGUAUUAGGACGAGCAACUUUCAAAUCACCAAUGUGAUGCUCACUUUGCUAGAGAAACAAGGUUUCUUCACCGGUGCUCUAAGUCAAAAUGCAUACAAACAUUUGAAGGGAUUUGUGGACACUUGUUGGGGGAGCAAACAAAUAAAUAUCUCUGAGGAUGCAUUGAGGCUAAGGCUUUUUCCCUUCUCUCUACGGGAAAAAGCUUUAGAUUGGUUGGAACAUUUGUCGAACCAUUCCAUUCACACUUGGGAUGAGUUGGCGGAAAAGUUUAUUUCUAAGUUCUUCUCUCCGGGGCACAUGGCUACACUUCAGGAUGAGAUUUUGGCAUUCAAGCAAGAGCCAAAUGAAUCACUACACGAGAUAUGGGAACACUAUAGAAUAAUGGUUAGGGAAUGUCCCAACAAUGAUAUGACGAAGAAUAUGAUUCAAAAAACUUUCUACCGUGGGAUCAACACAACCAACCAAUGUGUAGUGAAUCAACUUGUAGGUGGGAACUUCAUGACUACGCCUAGGGGUGUACAAAUCGAACCGAAAAAUCACACCAAAUCGAUUAAAAAACCCGACUUGGUUUGGCUUGAUUUGGUUUGGUAUUGAGUAAAAACAAUCUGAAUCAACACGACAUAUAAAUAUAUAAUUUUUAUAUAUACAUUUAAUAUUUUACAUAGAAUUUUCUUUAAAAAAUGUGUAAAAAUUUUGGGAUUCUCUUGCAGGAUAUAAAUUUUAAUAGAAUAUGAAGUGCUCCAUAUUUAUUGACCUUAAAUAAUGGGUUGUAUGAUCAUUUUCUUAUCAAGUGUUACUGAAAUGCGUUUAUCUCUUUGUUCUUCCAUAUUCAUAUAAUAUGUUAAGAUCUAUUAAAUUCUUAUAGCUUUUUUUGAAUGUGAAGUGAUUAUUAAUAUUUAGGUAUCAUAUUGAUUUUUAUGUUUAAUUACUAGAUUUGGUUAACCUAAAAGUGUAUAUCAACGAAAAAUUAUUGUCAGACGACUAAAAAAAUAACUAUUAUAUUUUACUAAUAGAAUUCUCCCAUAAGAAUAUUUUAAUCGUUAAUAUAUUUGUCAAUUUUUUAUAUUUUUACUAAAUAUAUAUUUACUUAUCAAAUAUUUAACAAAGUAAGAUUGAAAUAAUAUUUAAGUAACAAAAGACCAGAAAACCCAAAAAAUCCGACAAAAUCGAACCAAUUCAAACCGAUAUAGUUGGUUUGGUUUGGUUUUGAUAAAAAUCGAAUCAACCCGGUCCAUGUACACCCCUAACUACGCCUUAUGCAAAGGCGUAUGAGGUUUUCGAUGAAAUGGCUGAAACAUCAUUGGCAUGGCAAUCCCGGGCUAAUGUUCCACAAGGCGAUCCCAACGUGAUCCACCUUCACAAAGAGUUACAUGACCAUGGGCAAACCAUUGUCGAAUUGACUACCACCAUGAAUCAAUUAGCAAAGACUCAACUUCAAGAAGUGCAAAAUCCUAAGAAAGUCAAUGCCAUAGAGGGGGUAAACAUGAUGGUGAACAAAAGGAGAACCAAGGUCCACAGGUAUAACAUCGAGUGGACAAUUUUGUGGAAGAGGAUAGUGAUUUUGAUGAAGAUGAUUCUUACAAUUACCAAUAAGAGGAGGUGCAAUAUGUGAACAACUUUCAAAGGCAACGAACCAACUUCUAAGGCCCAAAUCAACAACAAUGGCGACCUCAAAACAAUCAAGGCAAUUGGAAUUCUAACAACUAAUGAAAUUGGAGUGGUGGAAACAAUAAAGGGAAUUAGCAUAACAACAAUAAUCAAGGAAAUUGGGGGGAGGGUAACAAUCAAGGCGGAUGGAACCAUAAUCAAGCCAAUCAGGGGUCGGGUUUUCAAAGGCCCCCGAUGUAUCAACAACUGAACAACCCGCCUCUGUAUCCUUCCCAUGGUCCUAGUUCUUCAACCAAUGAGAUGGGAGUAUUGAGAACAUGUUUAAGCAAAUGAUGGAAAAGAAUGCUGAUUCGGAUCCCAACUUGCCUCACACAACACAUCGAUCCACAACUUAGAAGUUCAAAUGGGGCAAAUCUCUCAAGCUCUAAAUUCUCAUCCUAAUAGGACACUACCAAGUGACACGGUGGUAAACCCAAAGGGUGGCAAAAACACGGGGCAUGCCAUGGUCGUUACUAAAAGAAGUGGAAGAGGUGGGAAUGUAUCCACCUCAAGUCAAAAGCAAAUGAGCAAGUGGAGCAAGAAGAAGAUCUCGAACAAUAUGGUGCAAGCAAAUGAUGAAGUUCGGAUUGAUAUUGAUGACAAUUUGGAAGAGACUCAAGAGGAGGUGAACCCAUCUAGGGAUCACAUUAUUGACAUACCGGAACUGAUAGUGCAAAAUGCUACGGCACCAUUUCCUAAUCCUCCAUCUCCAUACCCUCAAAGACUUGCCAAACAAAAUGGCAAGAAUCAAUUCAAAACGUUCAUUCAAAUGAUGAAGAGUCUCUCAAUCAAUGUGCCAUAAGUUGAAGCUUUGGAACAAAUGCCCGGUUAUGCAAAGUUUAUGAAAGAUCUUGUGACAAAGAAAUAAUAAAUGAAUUUUGAAAAUAUAAAAGUCACUCAUAAAGUGAAUGCAAUUGUGCAUUCAAUGGCUCUUAAGUUGGAAGAUCCCGGUGCUUUCACGAUUCCUUGUACAAUUGGAAGUGUCGAGUUUGCUAAAGCUCUUUGUUAUCUUGGGGCAAGUAUCAAUUUGAUGCCCUAUUCGGUUUUCAAGACCUUGGAAAUUGGGAAACCAAAACCCACCUAUAUGAGAUUGCAAAUGGAUGAUCGUACCAUGAAGAGACUUUUGGGGUGAUUGAAGAUGUCUUGGUUCAUGUUGAUAAAUUUAUUCUUCUGGCGGAUUUUGUCAUUCUAGAUUGUGAAGUUGAUUAUGAGGUGCCGAUUUUUAUUGGAAGACCUUUCCUUGCUACGGGGAAGGCUCUUUGUGAUGUUGAAGCUAGAGAACUCACUUUCCGGGUGGGUAAUGAAAAAGUGAUAUUCCAUGUGUGCAAGUCCAUGCGGUAACCAAAUAGCAACGAGAUGUGUUCUUUUGUGGAUUUAGUGACCUAUGUUAUUGUUGAUGAUACAAGUACCACGAUCAAUAUUGGUGAUAUGUUGGAGGCCGUCUUGCUCAACCUUGAUGAGGACGAUAUGGAUGGCUUUGUGAAAUAUGUGAACUCUUUGCAAGGAAUUGGGUCAUACAAUUAUGCACCCCUGAAACUAUCUUUGGAUCUUGAAAAUAGGAAAACUCCUCCUACAAAGCCUUCCAUUGAAGAGCCUCCUACCUUGGAGUUGAAGUCAUUACCUCCACAUAUUUGGUAUGAAUUUCUUGGCCAUUGUUCUACUUUACCGAUUAUUCUUUCCUCUUGUUUGACUAACGUGCAGGUAGAUUCUACAUUGGAGGUGCUACAUAAGAGGAAGAAGGCUAUUGGGUGGACAUUGGCGGAUAUUCGGGGGGAUAAGCCCUGCAUUUUACAUGCAUAAGAUCAACUUGGAGGAAGGCGCCAAACCAUCUAUUGAACAUCAAAAGAGACUCAAUGAGGCUAUGCAAGAAGUUGUCAAAAAGGCGAUUAUCAAGUGGUUGGAUGUCGGGGUUGUCUACCUCAUUUCAGAUAGUUCGUGGACUUCUCCGGUUCAAUGUGUCCCAAAGAAGGGGGGCAUGAUGGUGGUCACCAAUGACAAGAAUGAAUUGAUUCCUACAAGAACGGUGACCGGUUGGAGAUUGUGUAUGGACUAUCGCAAGCUCAACAAUCACAAGGAAGGAUCAUUUUUCAGUUCCCUUCCUAGACCAAAUGCUUUCUAUUGCUUUCUUAAUGGGUAUUCGAGCUAUAACUAAAUCCUUAUUGCUCCGGAGGAUCAAUAGUAAACAACCUUUGCAUGUCCCUAUGGUACUUUCGCCUUCAAGCGAAUGCCAUUUGGUUUGUGUAAUACACCGACGACCUUUCAAAGGUGUAUAAUAGUUUUCUUCACGGACAUAGUGGAGGACUACCUUGAAGUUUUCAUGGAUGAUUUCUCGGUGGUUGGGGAUUCUUUUGAUGAUUGUCUUGCAAAUUUAGAUAAAGUGUUGGCAGGAUGUGAAGAAACGAAUUUGAUGAUCAACUGGGAGAAGUGUCAUUUCAUGAUCGAGAAAAGCAUUGUCCUUGGCCACAAAAUCUCAAAGAAUAGAAUUGAAGCUGACAAGGCAAAUAUUGAGGUGAUUUCUAAACUUCCACCUCCAACUUUGGUGAAGGGUGUGUGGAGUUUCUUAGGCCACCCAAGGUUUUAGCGGCGUUUCAUCAAAGAUUUUUCUAAGGUGGUGAACCCGUUAUGCAAGCUCCUUGAGAAAUAUGCUAAGUUUAACUUCAAUGAUGACUGCAUGAGAGUUUUUGAAUUGUUAAAGUUCAAGUUGGCAACUAUUCCCAUCAUCUCCACUCCAAAUUAGAGUGUUCCUUUUGAACUCAUAUGUGAUGCAAGUGACGUAGUGGUUGGGGCUGUUUUGGGGUCAUACAUCAACAAGAUUUUUCAUUUGGUAUACUAUACUAGUAAGACCAUGAAUGAUGCCCAAGUCCACUAUACCGUUAUGGAGAAAGAGCUCAUUUCCAUUUUGUUUGCAAUUGAGAAGUUUCGUCCGUACUUGAUGGGUGCCAAGUUCAUUGUCCACAUGGAUCAUGCGGCACUACAUUAUCUAAUGAGCAAAAAAGAUUCCAAAACUCAGUUGAUGAAAUGGGUGCUCUUGUUGCAAGAAUUUGAUAUUGAUAUCCAAGAUAGAAAAGGAAGUGAAAACCAAGUGGCAGACCACUUGUCUCAUUUAGAGGACGAAGGUAGGCUGCAUGAUAGCCUUGAAAUCAACGACUACUUCCCCGAUGAGCAACUCUUAGCUAUUUCAAAGAAAGAGGUGCCAUGGUUCACAGAUCUAGCAAAUUUCCUUGUGUGUGGUAUCAUCCCGGAUGAGUUCUUUUUAAACUAAAGGAAGAAGCUCAAACGGGAUUGUCAAGAUUAUUAUUGAGAUGAACCAUAUCUUUUCUGGAUUUAUACGAAUGAGGUGAUUAGAAGAUGUGUACCGGAAGAAGAGCAAUGUGAAAUUCUUGGAGCUUGUCAUUCUUUGCCAUAUGGUGGUCAUCAUGGUGGAGCAAGAACGACGACAAAAGUUCUAAGUUGCAAUUUCUAUUAGACCACUAUUUACAAGGAUGCUAGUAAGCUAGUGAAAAGAUGUGAUGAAUGUCAACGGGGCGGUGGAAUCUCGAAGAAAAAUGAAAUGCCUCUCACUACCAUUUUGGAGAUUGAUAUUUUUGAUGUGUGGGGUAUUGACUUCAUGGGUCCUUUUGUGAUUUCUUGUGGAAACACCUACAUCUUGGUCGCGGUUGAUUAUGUGUCUAAAUAGGUUGAGGUCGUUGCUCUGCCCAACAAUGAGGCGAGAAGUGUGGUGGCAUUCUUGAAGAAGAAUAUUUUCACAAGGUUUGGUACUCUGCGGACUAUUAUAAGCGAUGGGGGGUCAUAUUUUUGCAACAAGGCCUUCGACACUUUACUUAUCAAGUAUGGUGUUACUCAUAAAGUCAUAACUCCCUAUCAUCCGCAAGCUAGCAGUCAAAUGGAAGUCUCCAACCGGGAGAUAAAGAGUAUUUGUUCCAAAAUAGUGAAUGCUAACCGAACGGAUUGGUCCAAGAAGCUUGAUGAUACAUUAUGGCUUAUCGGAGGCUUACAAAACACCUAUCGGAAUGUCUCCAUACCGGUUGGUGUUCAGCAAAGCUUGUCAUCUUCUAGUGGAACUAGAUCACAAGGCCAUGUGGGAUCUAAAGAAGUUGAAUCUUGAUUGGGAUGUACCCGCUAACUUAGGGUUGCACAUUUGAAUGAAUUGGAUGAUUUCUGGUACCAUGCUUAUGCAAGUUCGUCCUUGUACAAACAAAAAAUGAAAUAUCUUCACAAAAAAUAUAUUUGGAACAAAGAGUUCAAGGUGGUCGAUCUUGCAUUGUUGUUUAACUCAAGGUUGAGAAUGUUUCCCGGGAAGUUAAAGUCUAAAUGGAGUGGACCUUUUGAUAUUGUGGGUGUAACGCCUUUUGGUGCAUUGGACAUGAAUAAAAAAAACAAUGAGGUAUUACGAGUCAAUGGUCACCGGGUGAAGCACUAUUUGGGAAAAGUUGGAGAUGGCCACGUCGUGGCGGUCAUUCAUUUCAAUUGAUGGUAUUCUGUGUCAUGUUGCGACAUUAAAUCAGGCGCUUCUUGGAAGGCAACCCAUGUUUCUUUUCCUUUUAUUUUCUUCUUUUGUAGUUAGAUGUUAUUUUUGUGUUAACUUGAUUCGAAGUGUGCUACAUGUAUGAGUGUUCCUUACAUGAAUGGUGGACAGAAAACUGUCUAAGUGUUGCAAGAUUUGCGGACCGCAGUUAAAUUGUGCGGAACGCACAUUUACAGUUGUUGCAGGAAAAGUGCUCUACAGCCGCACAAUUAUCUUGCGGACCGCACAAGUGGGAGGUGGAAUAUACCAACUCUCUGAAGUUGUUCUGUCAGAAAAAGAGUCGAUUUGUGGCCGCACCAGGAAAUCUACAGCCGCAACAAGGCAUCUGCGGCCGCACACACAAUUCAGCGGACCGCAAACAAAAAGUCGAUUUAAGCUCCCAGGUAACAGAGUGCGGACCGCAACUCAAAUUGUGCUGCCGCACUCGCCCCUAUUUCCCUUAAGAACAUCAACUGUAUAAAUAGAGGGCUACGGCUAGUAUUACACUUUUCCCUCUCUGAGCACAAAAGCUUGCACUAUAGUGAAAUCUCUUGGUAAAUCAUUUGCCCACACGUCCAACAAUUGUGAUCACUCAUCCCUUGCACUUAUUCACAUCUGGUAUGCUUAAAUUUCUUGUUAGAAUAUUUUCAUUUUUUAGUUUAAACCGUAGUAUUAAAGUACUUUUAGGCCAUUUGUCAGUAGAACUCAAUUGUACAACCAUGUGGGGGUAAAUCUGUAGUGGGUUAACUAAUACUUGUUUAUUGGGGACUAGGUCAAUGUAUUUUCGUGCAUUUAUGUUGUUUCCAUGUCAAAAUUUGCACAAAAAUUGCAAAACCUAGUUAAUCAUACUGGACAGUUCAUGUUCUUUGAAUUCUGCGGCCGCAAGAAAAUUGUGUGGUCCGCAGAAAUUGAUCUAGGUCAACACUAGUGAGAAACAAUCUGCGGCCGCAAGAACAUUUUGUGGACCGCAGAAUUCUCAUUGCGGUCGCAAAACAAUCAUUGUACUGUCAUCAGAGAGUCUAUAAAUUUGUGACUCAAAUGUGCGGCCGCAAGACAAAUUGUGCGGACCACAGAAAACAUACUGCAGCCGCACAUCAGCCAAUUCUCUGUCAUCAGAGAGUUGGCACAUUUUAAGUCUCUGAGUUGCGGACGCAAGUGAAAUUGUGCGGAUCACACUUCACUUCUACGACCACAAUCCUAAAUUCUGCGGUUCGCAAGGCUUCAUCUGUGGCCACAAUAAAAUUGUGCGAACGGCGGGUCCUUCCCCUCAAGAAUAUUGUGUUUGUGACCCUCACUGUGUUUUUUGGUGUUUUCUUGUAUAUCUCUUGUGUCUGAUUGAACAUUGAAUUGUAACUAACAACUGCGUCUAUUUGAUACAGAAAAUGGUUCAAUCUAGAGGCAGAGGUGACACUUCUAAAGGGAGGGGUGAACCUUCUCGGGGACGAGGCAAGAGAGCCUUACAUGGUGCCCAACAGUAGGAAAUUAGAAAAAAGACAACAUUUGGGAGAGGGAGAGAUGCAAAUCUCUCCGAGAAGAGUUCAUACGCCCCCGUCUAGGGACGUAUCAGAGGGAAACUCAACCUCUGUCCAGGAAUAACUGGCAGUACAGUCCAAGCCGUUAGGGAGAUUUCAAUUGAGGGACGAGCCGUCCUCAUCCUACAGCACUUCCGAGGGUUCGGAAAGUACUAGUCAGGAUUCUGAGCCAUCCACUACACCUAUCCUUGAGGCACCAGUUACAUCAGUUCAGGACAUACCCGAUGAAGGUAGAGGGGGAGAUGCCAUAACUGCUGGGAUUGAAAGAACAAAGAAAAAAGAGGUUUGGGAGGACCGAUUCGUCAGCCUAGCAGCUUUCACUAGUUUUCGCACAUGGUGGCUAGUGAGGUCGCUAACACUUGAGCAACAUAUCUUAUUGAUAGAUCUAGAGAGGGAUAACCUGGUCGUGCUGAGGAAGUUUAGGGAGAGCAAGGGGUGGACGUGGUUUACCCAGAGUGUGGUGGAUGCUAAGGAAUACCUUGUCCGAGAAUUGUAAGCCAAUGUGACGCAUAUCAAAAAGGGGACAAAGGUGACAAAAGUGAAAAAUCUCAUAGUGCGAUUUGACCAGCACACACUGAACACAUACUUGGGCUUUGAUGAUGUCGAGCCAACACAAUACCUGGAAAAGUGUGCACUUGGGGAUGCAGUUCAUCCUUGGUUAGCAAAAAUUCUAGCGGCACUAGGACCACCACCACCAUGGAUCAAUGCUGGAGUUCCUAUUCACCGGGGCACACUGAGGUUUGAAGCAAAAGGGUGGCAAUCAUUUGUUUGUAGUAGACUGGACCUGAGUGAAAAUGAGACUCACUCGCCGAUUCCUCGGGCAGUCUUAGUUGCCUCCAUUAUGCCCGGGUACCCUAUCAAUGUGGGUGUUGUGAUGUCGGCCAACAUUUUUAUGAUAGCCUGACAUGAUGAUUCUUCCUACCCAUACCCCAACAACAUUACAGAGUAUCUUACAGAUGAGGGGGUGGAGCCAGGGGAUUUUGAUACAAAGGUGAGGCCGAAGAAGCCUUUCUCAUGGUACUCACUUCUGGAUGCAAACAACCCAAGAGAAAAGGUCAGUCGUCUACCACCACAGGCCAGUCUGAUGAGCCAGUUGUGGUAGUUGCAAAGGUAGUUUAUGUUCCAUCCACUUAGGCCGAGCCUUCCUCCAGUGCCGUAGCUAUGACUCCACCAUUAUCUACAGCCCCUUCUGCAGAUCCUGCCACAGUUUCCACUUCGAAUUUGAAGCCGGUGCCCAUGCCUACUGCUCCACUUUCUAGGCUGUGAGUCUCCUAAACAUUGGUAAGCCUCAACAACUGGAUGCAGACAACAACUGCAAAGUUGUCUGACUUAUCCAGUGUUGUUGUAGCACAGUUUACUGUUCAGGCACCUCGGUUUCCCCCCACAGUUAAGGAAACAUUAAAGAAGAUCCUAGAGAACCAGAACACCAUCAUGGCUACCUUGGUAUAGCACAGGCCAGUGAUCGAAGAGCUGGGCAAAGAAGUAAAGAAGAUGAGAAAGUCUCAGGCUAACAAGAAGUCAGUGGACAAGCUCUGGAGAUAGGUGACCAAGCUUGCUGCAUCCGGAGAUAUCCCCUUUGACAUGUUGAUCGACCCAGAUCCGCCAGUCUAAGGAGCCAGACUCUGCUGCCGACACUGCCGAGGAAGUGCAUCAAAAGUUCACCAACCCAGUCACACCCAGAGUUGAGGAUGAUGAGAUUCAGUUGGAUAAAACUGAGGGCGGUGACAUUGUUGGGGAUAUAGAGAUGUCCAAAGAGCCAUAAGGAGUUUUUCUCACUCUCUUUCCUCUUUUACUCUUAUUUUGUUAAGCAUUGGGGACAAUCUUAUUAUUAUUCGGGGUGUGGAGUUUAUUUGAUCUUAUUUGGUACAUUCUAAGACAAUUGGCCUGUAAUAACUUGAUAUUAUUUUCUUUCUCUUUCGUAUUCUGUAUAUAUUCUUUUUUUUUUCUCAUUAUGUAUAUUCAGUAGUUUUUGUUUAUUAGCUUCUUCAUUUUUGUUUCUUUGUGAGUUCCUAGUUUGAGUUAGUAGCUUCUUUGUUUGAUUUAGUAGAUUCUUUAUAUGUUCAAGUAGAUAACAAUCCUUUGGUUUUCCUAAUGCCACGGUUCUUUCCAAAGGUAGUUGUUGUGUGAACCGGGUGACUCGUCCCAACGAUGGAUGUCAUGACAACCUUCUUAAGGGAAUGAGUCUAUUUUUGGUGUUUAGAUAAUAAUAGUAGUAGUAAUGAAUAAAAAGACCUAAUUAAGUCAUACUCGAAGAGUCAAACAUGCUUCAAUCGGUACCAACAGACUUAACUAUGUGCUUAUCAUUAGAAACAAGGUUUUUGAAAUCAAUAGCUCUAGUUAGUGACUUUGUGACUCUUGUAUUGACUUUGGCAACCAUCGAGUGGUUUAAUUGAACCAUAGUAAUUUUCAAUCUUAAAUGUGGUCGUUGUGGGCCCUCGACUCUAUCCUCUUUAACAAUCCAGUUGCGUGAGGGGUGAGAUGCUUUGUUUCUAGUCCAAGUAUUUGUGCGAAAAGGUCUAGAACUUGCCCCGAAUGUGUUUCAAGGAAAAAUCCUAAGUUUUGCUUGGCUUGAAAAUUGAUUGUAGGCUUCCCUUGGCCCGUUUGAGUUUUCUAUUACCUACCAAUGUUGUGAUCCCUAUUCAACCCCUUUGAGCCUCGAGCCUUUCUCAUUUGACAACCAUGUUACAAGCCUUUACCCAUUUGGUCGUGACCCUCUCUUGGCACCUGAGCUUUCCUUAACACUCUUGUGAAACAAUUGGCUAAACACGUAAGUUUGGGGGAGAGACGAGGAUUGACAAAAAGGUAUCAAGGCACAAAAAGAGAAAAGAAAUGAUGAGAAGGAAAGUCAAAGAAAAGAAAAGAACAAAAAGAAAAAUGCAAAAUAAGUGAAUAAGUGGAAGAGUUUAAGGGAUUCAAAGAGAGGUAAUGAUCCCAAACAUGGAGAAAUCAAAGAGGGAGAAAAUGAAUGUAAUGAUCAAGAAAGAGUGAUGUUAAGUCUCUCUAUUCCCCCAAGGAAAAGAAAGUACCUCAAAGAAUUGGCAAAGUGUGAGCCGAGAAAUGAAAAAUGGAGUGCUUAAGGAAAGGUGUAACCACUCACCCAUACUGUAUCAAACCUUAAUCCAAAAGCCUUCAUUACAUCCCGAAAGAAGUCCUACUUGAUUUGAAUCCGAGUGAGCUUACAUUAGCGGUGAUCUACAUGAGGGGCAAACCUAUGGUACUUGAAGCCGUACUUGCAACAUUCUCUUGAGAGAGAUGAAUAAACCUACCAUAUAUCUUUGGAUAAAUUGCUAAAUUUCUUAAGUGAGCCAAGCGAAUGAGAAGUAGAGGAGGAAGAGUUUGGAGUCCACCAUGACCUACAUGAUAGAUCAAGAGUCCUUGAUGAGUGAAGUCAAUUCUUGAAGCUCAAAUGUCACAUUAAAACUAUAUGUGCAUAAAUGUUUAACUUGUUGCCUUGUUGAUAAUACAUGGGUAGUGUGGGUAAUUGUUGGUCCAACUGAUGUGUGAAUGGCUCACCUUCGACUCGUUGAAAUGACCCUUAACUUUUGGAGGUGGGAACUAAUUUAUUUGCUUGAGGACAAGCAAAGACUUAACUUUGGGGGAGUUGAUAAGUAGAUAUUUUGACUACUUAUUAGCGGCUUUUAGCUUUUGUUUUAGUCUAAAAGCAUUGAAUUGUGUUCUCGAAACUAAUAAAAUUGUGCAAAAUUAUAGGAAUGCUAAAAAUUGGGCUCCCGAGAUAAAAUCCGACUUAAAAAGGAGCAGUCCAAGCACAAGGCAAUAAAGGGCACAUAAGCACACAAUGUGCGGUCCGCAAAAGGAAUUCUGUGGUUGUAGAAGAAAUUGUGGACCGCAAAAUUCCAUCUGCGGCCGCAAACAAAGAAGGAAAAAUUAGCAGACAUUUGUGCAAAUUGCGGACCGCACAUGAAUUGUGCGGCCGCAAAGCUGGGCUAAGAGUCGAAGAUUAGAGAGUAUGCAAAAAGACCAAGUCCAGAUCCUGAGUGAAUUGCAGACCGCACAAGAUUUGUGCGGCUGCAGAAGAUUGCCUUGCGGCCGCAAUCCUAAUAUUGCAGACCGCAGAAAAGCUGUCUUACGACCGCAAUCCAAAAAUGUACGGUAGCAGAAGAAUGCCUUGCGGCCACAGAACUCCAGUUCAUGCCAGAUGAAUAAAUCUGCAGACCGUACAUGGAAUUGUGCAGCCGCAAAACCUCCCGAGGGGUAUUUUUGUCUGAGAUUUUCAGGCUUGUAUAAAUAGACGAGUUUCACAAAAUUAGGUCAAGUUUGAACCUCAAAAGUUGUUGUAGCCAUUUAGCUUUACUACUUUAGGAAGUUUUAGAUUGCUUUGGUGUAUUUACAAUAUAUUUAAUCAUUUUAAGCUUCCAUUAUGAGUUUAAUUUGUUUUUCUUCCUUAUUUUCUUUAUACCCCAUUAUGAGUAGCUAGACUUUACUAGGGUUGUGACCCAACCCUAGUGUGUAAACCUUAUGGGUAUCUAAUUUAAUGCUUGUUUAUGAUUGGGUGUUGAUUAUUUAGCGUAGUUCAUGCUUUAAUUGUAGAACUAAUGGUUGCAAAUAUUAAUUCAUGCAUAUUUGACUUAGUCUCUACUUGAAAAAGAGGGACCUAGUCUAGGAUAACUAGGCCAACAAGGAAUUGGGUCAAUUGAGAGAUUGAUUAACCCAAUUAAAGGGUUCAACCUAGAGAUAGUAAUAACCCGACGCGAGCUCUUAUCAAUUGUUUUGGGUGAUACCUAUUUGGUCUUGAGAAAGCUAAAUGGGGCAAAACCACUCUCUUAUCGAGAGGUAUUGAGUGGAUAAUUUAGAGUUGAGAGCUAUAAUACACCCCAAUCGACAAAACAAGCAUUAAAGUCUUUAGUCCAUUAAGAAAACACCUAGGUCAUGGUCACAACCCUAGGCUUUUUAUCCAUUUGGAAAAACCUUAAAAAUAAUUAUCUCUAGUCUUCUUUAUUUAUUUUGCAAUCAUUAGAGUAACAUUGGAAAAAGAAAACAAAUCUUUGUUGUGGAAGUGCAAUCUAGAUAAUCCAAUUACUCAAAUUGAAAUAUAUACCCCUAAAUUCCAUCUUAGCUCCUUGUGGAUUCGACCCCGACUCUUAGUUGGGUUUCUAUUAUUGCAAAAUGAUNNNNNNNNNNNNNNNNNNNNNNNNNNNNNNNNNNNNNNNNNNNNNNNNNNNNNNNNNNNNNNNNNNNNNNNNNNNNNNNNNNNNNNNNNNNNNNNNNNNNNNNNNNNNNNNNNNNNNNNNNNNNNNNNNNNNNNNNNNNNNNNNNNNNNNNNNNNNNNNNNNNNNNNNNNNNNNNNNNNNNNNNNNNNNNNNNNNNNNNNNNNNNNNNNNNNNNNNNNNNNNNNNNNNNNNNNNNNNNNNNNNNNNNNNNNNNNNNNNNNNNNNNNNNNNNNNNNNNNNNNNNNNNNNNNNNNNNNNNNNNNNNNNNNNNNNNNNNNNNNNNNNNNNNNNNNNNNNNNNNNNNNNNNNNNNNNNNNNNNNNNNNNNNNNNNNNNNNNNNNNNNNNNNNNNNNNNNNNNNNNNNNNNUUGUAAAUACACCAAAGCAAUGUAAAAGUUCCUAAAGUAGUAAAGCAAAAUGGCUACAACAAUUUCAGAGGUUCAAACUUGACCUAAUUUUGUGAAACUCGUCUAUUUAUACAACGCUUAAAAUCUCGGACAAAAAUGCCCCUCGGGAGGUUCUGCGGCCGCACAAUUCCAUGUGCGGUCCGCAGAUUUCUUCAUCUGGCAGGAACUGGAGUACUGCGACCACACUUUUCUGAACUGCGGUUGUGAGGCAUUCUUCUGCGGCCGCACAUUUAUGGACUGCGGCCACAAGGCAACUCUUUUGCGGUCCGCACAAUUAGGAUUGCGACCGCAUAAUUCUUGUGUGGUCCGCAAUUCAGUGAGGCUUCUGGACUUGGUCUUUUUAUAUACUCUCUGAUCUUCGACUCUUAGCCCAGCUUUGCGGCCGCAUAAUUCAUAUGCGAUCUAUAGUUUGUGCAAAUGUCUGCUAAAUUCAUCCUCCUGGUUUGCGGCCGCAGAUGGAAUUCUGCGGUCCGCAAUUUCUUCUGCGGACGCAGAAUUCCUUCUGUAGACCGCACAUUUGUGUUUCUACUCCCUUUAUUUCCUUGUGCUUCAGAUUGCUCCUUUUUGAGUUGGAUUUCAUCUCGGGAGACCAACUUCCAGCAUUCCUAUAACUUUGCACAAUUUCAUUAGUUUUGGGAACAUAAUUCAAUGCUUUUAGACUAAAACAAAAGCUAAAAGGCGCUAAUAAGCUGUUAAAACCCCACUUAUCAACUCCCCCAAACUUAAGUUUUUGCUUGUCCUCAGGCAAACAAAUUAGUUCCCACCUCUAAAAGUUAAGGAUCAUUCCAGCGACUCAAAGGUAAGCCAUCCAUACUUCAAUUGGGACCAACAAUGACCCACACUACUCAUGUAUUAUCAUCAAGGCGACAAGUUAAAUAUUCAUGUACAUAUAGUUCUAAUGUGACAUUUGAACUUCAAGAAUUGACUUUACUCAUCAAGGACUCUUGCUCUAUCAUGCAGGUCAUGGUGGACUCCAAACUCUUUCUCCUCUACUCUCCAUUUCCCUGGCUCACAUAAGAAAUUUAGCACUCAAUCAAAAGAUUUAUGAAAGGUUCACUCACCUUUCUCAAGAGAAUGUCGCAAGUACGAUUUUAAGUACCAUAGGCUUACCCCCCAUAUAGAUCGCCACUAAUGUAAGCUCACGUGGAUUGAAAUCAAGUAGGACUUCUUUCGGGAUGUAAUGAAGGCAUUUGGAUUAGGGUUAGAUACAAUAUGGGUGAGCGGUUACACCUUUCCUUAAGCACUCCAUUCUUCAUUUCUCGGCUAACACUUUGCCAAUUCUUUGAGGCACUUUCUUUUCCUUGGGAGAGUAGAGAGACUUAACAUCACUCUUUCUUGAUCAUUACAUUCAUUUUUUCCCUCUUUGAUUUCUCCAUGUUUGGGAUCAUUACCUCCCUUUUGAAUCCCUUCAACUCUUCUGCUUAUUCAUUAUUUUAUAUUUUUCUUUUUGUUCUUUUCUUUUCUUGCCUUUCCUUCUCAUCAUUUCUUUUCUCUUUUGUGCCUUGAUACCUUUUUUAAGUUCCUCGUAUCUCCCCCCAAACUUAUGUUUUUAGCCAUUUUUUAAAGAGUGUUAAGGAAAGCUCGGGUGUCAAGAGAGGGUCACGAUAAAACGGGUGAAGGCUUGUAACAUGGUCAUCAAAUGAGAAAGGCUCGAGGCUCAAAGGGUUGACUAGGGAUAAUGACAUUGGUUGGCAAUAGAAAACUCAAACAGGCCAAGGAGGGCCUACAAUCACUUUUCAAACCAAGCAAAACUUAGGAUUUCGCCUCAAAACACAUUCGGGGCAAGUUCUAGACCCUUCGUGUAGAUACUUGGACUAGCAACAAUUUAUCUCACCCCUCACGUAACCGGACUAUUAAAGAGGACAUAGUCGAGGGACCACAACGAUCACAUUCAAUUUUAAAAAUCACUAUGGUUCAAUUAAAUCACUCGAUGGUUGCCAAAGUCAACACACGAGUCACAAAGUCACUAACUAGAGCUAUUUCUUUCAAAAACCUUAUUUCUAACCAUAAGCACAUAGUUAAGUGUGUUGGUACCAAUUGAAGCAUGUUUGACUCUUCGAGCAUGACUUAAUUAGGUCUUUUUAUUCAUUACUACUACUAUUAUUACCUAAACACAAAAUAAACGGACUCAUUCCCUUAAGAAGGUUGUCACGCCAUCCAUCGUUGGGACGAGUCACCCGGUUAACAUAACAACUACCUUUGGAAAGAACUGUGACAUUAAGAAAAUCAAAGGCUUAUUAUCUACUAAAACAUAAAAAAAGAUACUAAAGCAAACAAAGAAGCUACUAACUCAAACUAAGAACUAACAAAGAACAAAAAUAAAGAAGCUAAUAAACAAAAAUUACUGAAUACAUAUAAUGAGAGAAAAAGAGAGAAUAUAUACAAAAUAAGAAAGAAAAAGAAAAUAAUAUCAAGUUAUUACACACCAAAUGUCUCAGAAUGUACCAAAUAUGAUCAAUAAACUCCACCCCCCUCAGAAUAAAUAUAAGCAUUGUCCCCAAUGCUUAACAAAAUAAGAGUAAAAGAGGGGAAAAAAUGAAAAAAACUCUCUAUGGCUCCUUGGACAUCUCUGUGUCCCUAGCAAUGUCACUGCCCUCAGUCUCAUCUAAUUGAAUCUCAUCAUCCUCAAUUCUAGGUGUGACUAGGUUGGUAAACAUUCGACGCACUGCCUCGGUAGUGUCAGUAGCAAAAUCUGGCUCCUUAGUCUGGCCAGCUGGUGCCACUGGUGCUGAUGAUGCUGUAGGAUCUUGGCCUGAAGGGUGUGGGUCGAUCAACAUGUCAAAGGGGAUAUCUCCGGCUGCAGCAAGCUUGGUCACCUGUCUUCGGAUCUUGUCAACUGACUUCUUGCUGGCCUGGGACUUUCUCAUCUUCUUUACUUCUUUUCCCAGCUCUUCGAUCACUGACCCGUGUUGUACCAAGGUAGCCACGAUGGUGUUCUAGUUCUCUAGGAUCUUCUUCAAUGUCUCCUCAACUUUCAGGGGAAACUAAGGUGCAUGAAUAAUAGAUUUUCCUGCAGCAGUACUGGAUAGGUCAGACAACUUUGCAGUUACUGUCUGUAUCUAAUUGUUGAGACUUGCCAAUGUCUGGGAGACUCGCAACGCACAAAGUGGAGCAGUAGGCAUGGGCACCGGCUUCAAAGCCGAAGUGGAAGCUGUGGCAGGAGCUGCAGAUGAUGGCAGAGGUAUGACUGCAGCAUUGGAUAUGAUCGACCGAAGUGGAUGGAAUAACAACUGCCUCGGUAGAUACCAUAGCUGGUUCGUCAGACUGGCCCGUAGUGGUAGGAGGCUAAACUUUCUUUCUCGGAUUCUUUGAAUCCAUUAGUGAAUACCAAGUGAAAUGCUUUUGCGGCCUCACCUUUAUGUCACAAUCUCUCGGCUAUACCCGUGCAUCUGUGAUGUAUUAUGUGAUAGUGUUAGGAUAUGGAUAGGAUGAGUCAUCCUGCCAAGCAAUCAUUGAGAUAUUGGCUGACAUCACGGCCCCCACAUUGAUAGGGUACCCGACCAUAAUAGAAGCAACCAAGAUUUCCCGAGGAAUUGGAAGGUUAGUCUCAUUCUGGCACGGAUCUAGUUUGCUGCACACAAAAUUUUGCCACCCCUUUGCCUUAAAACUCAUCUUUCUCCUUUGGAUAGGAACCCCAUCGGCAAUCCAUGGUGAUGGUGGCCCUGGUGCUGCUAGAAUCUAUGUUAACGCAUCUCCCAUCUCCAAAUAUUCCUUUGGCUCAAUGUCUUUAAAACCCAAGUAUGUGUUGAGUGUAUGCUGAUCAAAUCUCACUUUAAGGUUACGCAUAUAUGUUGAGUGUAUGCUGAUCAAAUCUCACUUUAAGGUUACGCACUUUGGUGACCUUUGUCCUAUUUUUUAUAUGCGCCACAUUGGCGUAGAAUUUACGGACAAGGUACUCCUUGGCAUCCACCACACUCUGGGUGAACCACAUCCACCAUUUUUGUUCCUUGAACUGUCUCAACAUUGCUGGGUUUUGCUUCUCUAGAUCUUUCAACUAAAACUGUCACUCAAGUGUAAGCGAUCUCACUGGCCACCAUAUAUGAAAGCUAGUGAAGGAGACCAAGAUGACAAACCGAUCCUCCCAGACCUCUUUCCUCCUCGACCUUUCAAAGUCGGCAGUUGUGGCAUCUCCCUCUCUGUCAUUAUCGGGGAUGUCCUGAACAAAUGUAUCUUGUGCCUCAAGGACAUGUUCAAUGGAUGGCUUAGAAGCAUGACUAGCACUUUUCGAACCCUCGGAAGUACUAUGAGAUGAGGACGGCUCGUCCCUAAGUUGAUAUCUCCCUAGAGGCCUUGACUAUACAGUCGGCUGCUCUUGAACAGAGGCUAAGUUGCCCUUUGAUGCUUCCCUAGACGGGACAUAGGAGCUCAUCUUGGAGAGAUCUGCACCUCUCCCUCUACCGGUUGUAGAUUUCUUUAUUAUUGUCCUUUGUUGGCCGAGGGGUAAGGCACUCUUGCCUCGACCCCUAGAAAGUUCACCCCUCCCUUUAAAAGUGUCACAUCUGCCUCUAGAUCGAACCAUUCUAUGUAUCAAGCAAAGGCCAUUGUUAGUUGCAAUUCAAAGUUCAGACAUACAAUGAGAUAUGCAAGUAUACACUAGAAAACACAGUGAGGUUCACAGUUGAAACAUGCUUGCAGGAUAAGGGUCUGCGGUCCGUACAAUUUUCUUGCAGCCGCAGAUGAGGCCUUGUGGACAACAUAAUUCUUCCUUGCGGCCGCAAAUUUGAGUCACAAUUUUGUAGACUCUCUGAUGACAGUAAGAGGGAUAUUCUAUGGCUGCAAUGGGAAUUCUGCGGUCCGCACAUUUUACCUUGCGACCGCAUACCCAUUCUUUACUAAAGCUGCCCUAGAAUCAACUUCUGCGGACCGCACAAUUUCAAGUGCGGCCGCAAAAUUCAAAACACUACGAACAGUCCAUUAUUUCAAUAUAGGUUUUGUACUUUUUAUGCAAAUUUUGACAUGGUAACAACAUAAAGGCAUGAAAAUAUGUUGACCGUGUCCCUAAUGAGCAUGUAUUAGUUAACCCACUACAGAUUUAUCCCCACAUGAAUGCACAAUUGAGUUCUACUGACAAAUAGCCUAAAAAUAAUUAAAAAGCUAUAAGUUAAACCAAAAAUGCAAAAUUCUAACAAGGAAUUUAAGCAUACCAGAUGUGAAUGAGUGUAAGGAAUGAGGGAUCACAAUUGUUGGGCGUGUGGGCAGAUGAUUCACCAAGAAAUUUCAAUAUAGUGCAAGUUUUGGGCUCAGAGAGGGAAAACUGUAACCCUUUCCCCUGCCCUUGUUUUUGUAUUAAUGAUUCAUAAAAUAGGGGAAAGGUCGAGUGUGGCCGCACAUUGUUAUGUGCGGUCCGCACUCUGUUACCUGGGGCAACAUAUUUGGUUCUUCAGCUGAUGUCUACACAAUUUUGUGUGUGAUUGCAGAUUUCUUGUUGCGGCCGCAGAAUUCCUCUUGCGGUUGCACAUUGACCAUUUCUCUGACAAACUAACUUCAGAGAGCUUGAAAUUUCAACCCUUCAUUUGUGCGAUCCGCAAGAUAAUUAUGCGGCCAACAACUCUAAAAAUUGA
rnacentral:lncRNA from 1 species